GCCACACCAGUAAAAAUCUUGUUCUGAUCUAUUUGACUAGCCAAUAAAUUGAGAAAGUUUGUUGUUUAUGCAGAUGAUUGACGACCAGGACUUGGGCUUCUUUGCCAAUUUUCUUGGCAUCUUUAUAUUUGUGCUGGUGAUUGCUUAUCAUUAUGUGAUGGCUGACCCAAAAUACGAGGGCAACUGAUGUGCUCCUUUUGGUUUCCAUCUGUACUACGAAGUUGAUAUUUUCCUUUUUGUUCUAGUUAUGACUUUCGAGGAUGGGAUAUAUAUUUGAUGUAGCAAGACUUUUCCUGUUACGGUGAAUUUAGUCUUUCUGAUUAUUCAUAAAUACUAUUGGAAGAUAGAACUUUGUUUCGGAAUUUAACUUGUUAUUUAUUUAUAUCAGUUUUUUACAAAUUUAUUCGGAUUUCAAGAGUAGAUGAGCUACAUUUGUGUAUGUUAAAAAUUAAAUCUUG
rnacentral:lncRNA from 1 species